GAUAAUCACUAACAAACAAAUGGGAUAAGUUUGAAAUUUAAUGGAUUGACUGAUAUCUGAGGAGCUUCCGAGCUUAUCUAGGAAGUUGUAUCAUGAUCAUCAUGGUGACAACUGACGCAAAUAAGUACAUGCAUCCAAGUGCAUGUUGUAAUAUCCCGAAAAUUUAAACUUCUUUAAAUUAUAUAAUAAUAAUUAGUGGCCAAAUUUUUCAGUUAAUAAUAAGUUAUAAUCAAAAUUUCGUUAUUUUAUGUCCAAGUAAUGGAUAAUUAGUUCAUUAAAUGUAUAUAUAUUAUGUAUGGUUAAGAGUUACAAAUAAUAACAAGUUAUGUUAAAUGAUUUCAUUAGUUAAAAUAAGAAAACAAAUAAAUACACAAAACAAUUACUUGAACCUUACAAAGUUGGGUCAAAUUGGUUUUGGUAAUAAAAAGAAAAAGAAAAAGAGAAAAGAAAAGAAAAGAAGAGAAAAAGAAAAAGGAAAAAAGAAGAAUUUGAGAAAAAAACUGAGUUUUUCUUCUCCUUCGACCCAUUUCAGUUUUUUUUCUUCACAAACAACCCAUCCAUGAAUUUCUAACCCAAAACGGAUUUUGUUGCACACAAAAAAACUCAACUUCAAACUAAAUUCAUUACUCACCCCAAAUCACCCAAUAACCCGUUUAAUUCCAUUCAAAUUUCAUCAAUUCAAUUGGGUAAAAUUUGAGCUCAACCAUGGCUAUAAAUAGCCAUGUUCAUUCCCUCAAACCACCAUCCACUCAUCACUAACAAUUCAUUCAAAAACUCCCCGGAAUCCCCCUACCACGCCGGAAAACACCACCCCAAAACACCCCUCAAAUUCCCUGUUUUUUUUUUUCGCACAACCCCUCCCUUUUACUCCUUUGUUUUCGGACAGCCACCGCAGCCCCACCGCGGCGCCGCCGCAUUCCUGCGCCUCCUGUGCGCCACCAUAGAACCACCUCACCGACGCCUUCUCUCUCCUCUCGCCUACACCCUCACUCGCUCGCCCCUUCUUUCUCCUUCUUCUCUCUCCCUCGCACCUCACCUUCGUCGUCCUCACGCUGCACCAACAGACUUCGUCGCUCGACGGAAGCCGACGAACACCAUCGUUCCACUGCUGUCGGAGCUCUGACCCCACCGCCGGCCAUUCUCCUUCCUCUGCCCUGUUUUCGUGCCUGCUCAAAAUGAGCAGAGAUUAAACGGAAAGGAUAUUACAGCCUCCCCCGGCUUUCAAGGAUAUUAAGCAGGAAUCCAGGUAUGAGCAUAGCCAUUGCAAGUGCGCAGUUAAUAAGGAACAUGUUCAAGGGAAAGUGUGCGGUAUCUGCUGUUGGAGAAAUUAUUAUUAUUAUUUGGGUCGAGUAUUUAUGUAUAGUUAUCAAGGACUAUUUAAGGUUGCAUUGUAUUAGUGGGCCAAUAUCCCACAGGCUUAAGUUCCAUUUCCGCUGCUAAGUAUGAGCAAUUGUGUUUAAUUAAGGUUAUGAAUUUUCGGGGCGUUACACAUGUAGAGCAUGGUGCACCCUUUUUUAAACUACGUCGUUUUAUCAUUUUUAGAGUCUAUAAUUUUUAAAAAGUA